GUGAAUUUUGUGUGUCUUAUUGAAAAUUUUGUAAAAUAUAUGUGUAUUAAACAUGAAAAAUAUGUACGUACAUACAUGUACAAUUCGAGUAUUGUACGUUUGCUUUUUAAAAAAACAUGAAUUUUAUCGGGUCUUUAAUACGUGUACAGAACACGGAUGAUGUAUUAUUGAAAAAUACGUAUAUACGUGUUUAAUACAGUAUGAAACGUG
rnacentral:lncRNA from 1 species